UGCCGCAUCAGUUCAAGAGGUUCUAUGUGUGCCUUGAUGCUUGUAGAAGAGGUUUCCUUGCUGGAUGCAGGGGAAUAAUUGGAUUAGAUGGUUGUUUCUUGAAAGGGCCUUGUAAAGGAGAGCUUUUAUCUGCUAUUGGAAAAGAUGCAAAUAACCAAAUGUAUCCAAUUGCUUGGGCUGUGGUAGAAGCAGAGUGCACUGACUCAUGGACUUGGUUUCUGAACAAUUUGAAGCAUGAUCUAGGACUGGGGAAUGGGAAUGGAUGGAGCUUCAUGAGUGAUCGACAGAAGGGUCUCAUACGCUCUAUCGAGGACAUCCUUCCAUUAGUUGAGCACAGAAUGUGCAGGAGACACGUCUAUGCCAAUUGGCGGAAGAACCACAAGCGUUGAUCGCUGCAAAUGAACUUUUGAGAAUGCACAUGUUCGACUACGAUCCCACAUUUUGAGAGGGCUUUAAAAGAUUUGGAACAAAUAACAAAGCAAGGAGCUAAAGACUUGCUGGAUACCCAUCCUGAGCACUGGUGUAGAGCCUAUUUUGAUACUGAAAUCAAGUGUGAUAUGGUGGACAACAAUAUCUCGGAGACAUUUAAUGGGUGGGUGGGUGGAUUCUCGGUGCAAGACACCGAUCAAUAAUUAGUAAGUUGGAUGAGAUUAGAGUGAAAGUUAUGACCAUAAUUGAAAAGAACAACAAAUUGGGGUCGAAAUGGGGAGAAUAUUGCCCAAGGAUACUGACAAAGUUGGAGCGAAUGAAAGAAGAAAGUGCAUUUUGCCACCUUGAUUGGAAUGGAAGUGCGGCAUAUGAGAUUAGGCAUGGUGUAGAGAGGUUUGUUGUCCAUAUGGAUGCUAGGAGUUGCUCUUGUAGAGCAUGGGACAUCUCGGGCAUUCCUUGCCCACAUGUUGUAUGUGCGAUUUAUCAUAAAAGGGAGCAGCCUGAAAGCUAUUUAAGUCAUUGGUACAUGAAGGAAACCUCUAUGAAGACAUAUACAUGCUUUCUAGAGCCAGUGAAUGGUCCUUUGUUGUGGCCUAAAGCUGGACUAGGAAAAAUUGAGCCUCCACCUUCUAGAAUUAUGCGAGGCAGACCGAAGCUGAAAAGAUGAAGAGAGGAGGGUGAAGAACAAUCACAAGGGAACAAGAUGUCGAGAGAUGAUCGUGGUAUUACACAGUUUAAACAUCAAGUUUAAAUUUAAAAUUUAAAUUUAUUCAACUGACUUUUCUUCAUAAUUUUGAUAUAAUAAACAAUGAUCAUAAUUAGAUGAUCGUGGUAUUACACAGUUUAAACAUCAAGUCAUCUGGUUUAUCCACGACUUUUUUUUUUAUCUUUCAGGAAUAUAUUUAAUUUAUAACUUGAAUUGGAUAAAUUUAUUUUUUUCUUUAGAAAUCUUUUAAUGCUUAUUCUUGAUUUUCGAUGUAAUAAUUUAAUGUAAUUAUGCAAUAAAAAUAAAAUAAUAGAGAAAUUUAGAGAAUUUAGACAGUUGAGAUUUUCUUAAUUAAAGGAUGAAUGCUAUGAAGAUUUGCACUUCUUAGAAACACUAGUGAAAAUGCAGUUGUGUUGCACUUGAUGUCAAUUAAGCAUGUA